UACGGAGGAUGCAAGCGUUAUCCGGAUUUAUUGGGUUUAAAGGGUGCGUAGGCGGGAAAAUAAGUCAGUGGUGAAAUCCUACAGCUUAACUGUAGAAUUGCCGUUGAUACUGUUUUUCUUGAGUAUGGUCAAGGAAGGCGGAAUGUGUAAUGUAGCGGUGAAAUGCUUAGAUAUUACACAGAACACCAAUUGCGAAGGCAGCUUUCUGGCCCAUUACUGACGCUGAGGCACGAAAGCGUGGGGAUCGAACAGGAUUAGAUACCCUGGUA
rnacentral:rRNA from 1 species